ACCUGGGUGGCUCAGUCGGUUAAGCGUCUGACUUUGACUCAGGUCAUGAUCUCGUGGUUCGUGAGUUCGAGCUCCACCUUGGGCU
rnacentral:tRNA from 1 species